UACAGAGGGUGCAAGCGUUAAUCGGAUUUACUGGGCGUAAAGCGCGCGUAGGCGGCUAAUUAAGUCAAAUGUGAAAUCCCCGAGCUUAACUUGGGAAUUGCAUUCGAUACUGGUUAGCUAGAGUGUGGGAGAGGAUGGUAGAAUUCCAGGUGUAGCGGUGAAAUGCGUAGAGAUCUGGAGGAAUAUCGAUGGCGAAGGCAGCCAUCUGGCCUAACACUGACGCUGAGGUGCGAAAGCAUGGGGAGCAAACAGG
rnacentral:rRNA from 1 species